rnacentral:sRNA from 1 species
UAGAGGCACUGGAGUAUGAAAUACUCUUUUUCAUCCACAAAGCAAGUGCAGCACAUGCAGCAGCAGUGCAAACUUCUCUAUGUGGACUGCCAAUAAACUUCUACCCUGGGCAGAAAAAAAAACACCUUUACGGUUAAGGGCUUGUCUAUACAUUAAAGUUAUUCUCCAGAACAAGG